CAGAAGUGGGACAGGGCAUGGCAGAGGUAUAUGCAAUGUCAGUAGUGCACUAUCCUAACCACGACCACGUUGCUGUUAUCUGAGAGACUGAGAUUGAAGGUCACUUGAUCACAGCAGAGUUACACAGAAUGAUCAUUAUGAGUUGGCGACAUAAAAUACAGCAUUGCUUUCCCACGUGGAUCUAAUUUUGGUCCGGAAAUACCCAUAUAUUUCGAAAGAAGCCUAAUAUGUAUUCCCAGCCACAACAAGAAAACGGGUCAGUUGCAAGAAAUUACUGAAGGCCAACAAACAGUCUACUGUUUAUAUCUAUAGACCAAAAGUAGUCAUCCAAGUUGGUACCAUGUCAGGAAACAUCGCAGGUUUUUAAUCCUCUUCAUCACCCGUGGAACAUCUGACUGUUACUCAAAACUAGGUUGUCGGAUUUAAACACACAUCGCUUUCGAACAAGGAACUUACUGGAUUAACUGAGGCCCCUUUCGAAAAAAGACAAAAUGUUUACUGUGCUGCUUGUCACCGGCGUUCUCUGGCUUGUUUCCGGGGAUUGUCAGCCUGGAACGAAUCAAGUGUUAUAAGGAUGGGUGAGAGAGGGUUCAGUACUGCGUGGAGGAGAGACAACGUUGUUACAACUGCGACGACGUCAAAGACCUCUGUGGAACUGAAGAUUUGCCGUUACAGUGUGACGCCUUUUGUGCAGUAAUGGCGGCCUUGGAACAAGAAAAACAGCAAAACGACACGAUUAGGGAAAUCAUUCAACGCGGCAGUACAACCAUACAGACACUCCAACACGACAUCGCUACAACCAACCAGUCUCUCCAUAAUGCAACACGUUACCUACAACGUCUCCAGGGAAACAACGACGACCUCCGAAACACCAUUGCAGCAAGCAACAUCACAGUGAGAACACUGAAGAAUGCCGUCUACCAACUGGAGAGGAGCAAUGAAGGCUUAAAGACAAAGCUCGCCAAAAUGUCCUAUUUACAGACAAACUAUACAUUAAUGGCUAAACGACAGUCUGACUUGGAAGAGCAACUGCAAGGUCAGCAGAUAGCCACAGGUAUACUAUCGGUGAUCCUGCUUGCCAUGCUGUGUUUCAUCCUGUGCAGAUGUCGACCUCUCAAACAAGCUCUUUAAAGUGUUUGAUCCAGAAAAGGAAGUCCUUAGUGGGUGACACCGACCUUGAAUUAAAGGACACGAAAACGACCUCGAACUUAGAGGAAUCCAUCACCGAGGUCAAGGUUGACUUCUCACUUCGAGACCAAGAAAAAGAAGACGCUGUGUCGGAUGAUAGCGCUGUCGUCGCUGGAUCCUCAGUUGAGAGCGUUAACGUGGAGAGUCUUCGGGAACACAAGCCUGACGGCUCUGAUGAUAGAGCCAAGGGCAACCAUGGCCCAACAUCCGACUCUCCAGAUCAAAGGGACGUAAGGUGUAACAGCAAUGGCUCCAGUCAGGACACCCGCGGGAUCAACCCAACGCUUGAUGAUCAAUCAGCUGAUAUAAGACUUGCAAUUGACAAGCCUUUCAGCAGGGUAUAUAAACAUGCGGCAAUGCCAAAUAAUGGCAUUAGGUCACAAGAGGCAUGAGAUAGACAUGUCAG